rnacentral:rRNA from 1 species
UACGUAGGGGGCAAGCGUUGUCCGGAAUCAUUGGGCGUAAAGAGCGUGUAGGCGGCCAGAUAAGUCCGCUGUGAAAUCUCGAGGCUCAACUUCGAGCUGUCGGCGGAAACCAUCUGGCUAGAGUCCGGAAGAGGAGAGCGGAAUUCCUGGUGUAGCGGUGAAAUGCGCAGAUAUCAGGAGGAACACCCGUGGCGAAGGCGGCUCUCUGGGACGGUACUGACGCUGAGACGCGAAAGCGUGGGGAGCGAACAGG